AAAAUGUAUUUUUUUGCUUGUUGCUCCGGCUUAAUAGGGAACGAAGUGAAAUUCUUCGACAGUCCCGCUGCUGUAAGUUCUAUCUUUCGUCGACCGCCAUUGCCACUGAGGCCCGGCUUCGGGAAGGCGCGGUCGUCUGGAACGAGUCAGAAGACCUGCCGUUUCGUUAUUGUCAAAC
rnacentral:ncRNA from 19 species